rnacentral:rRNA from 1 species
AGAAUCAACGCUGGCGGCGUGCCUAACACAUGCAAGUCGCACGAGAAAGGGGCUUCGGCUCUGAGUAAAGUGGCGCACGGGUGAGUAACACGUGACUAAUCUACCCUCGAGUGGGGAAUAACCUAGAGAAAUCUGGGCUAAUACCGCAUAACACUUACGAGUCAAAGCAGUAAUGCGCUUGGGGAGGAGGUCGCGGCCGAUUAGCUAGUUGGCGGGGUAAUGGCCCACCAAGGCGAUGAUCGGUAUCCGGCCUGAGAGGGCGCACGGACACACUGGAACUGAAACACGGUCCAGACUCCUACGGGAGGCAGCAGUGGGGAAUUUUGCGCAAUGGGGGAAACCCUGACGCAGCAACGCCGCGUGGAGGAUGAAAUAUCUUGGUAUGUAAACUCCUUUCGAUGGGGAAGAUUAUGACGGUACCCAUAGAAGAAGCCCCGGCUAACUUCGCGCCAGCAGCCGC